UACGUAGGGGGCAAGCGUUGUCCGGAAUCACUGGGCGUAAAGGGCGCGUAGGCGGCUCGGUAAGUCGGGGGUGAAAUCCUGCGGCUUAACCGCAGGGCUGCCUUCUAAACUGUCGAGCUCGAGCACGGUAGAGGCAGAUGGAAUUCCCGGUGUAGCGGUGGAAUGCGUAGAGAUCGGGAAGAACAUCAGUGGCGAAGGCGGUCUGCUGGGCCGUUGCUGACGCUGAGGCGCGACAGCGUGGGGAGCAAACAGG
rnacentral:rRNA from 1 species